rnacentral:rRNA from 1 species
UACGGAGGGUGCAAACGUUGCUCGGAAUCAUUGGGCGUAAAGCGCACGUAGGCGGUCCACUAAGUUGGAUGUGAAAGCCCCGGGCUCAACCCGGGAAGUGCAUACAAAACUGGUGGACUUGAAUAUGGAAGAGGGUCGCGGAAUUCCCGGUGUAGAGGUGAAAUUCGUAGAUAUCGGGAGGAACACCUGAGGUGAAGACGGGUUGCUGGGCUGACACUGACGCUGAGGCGCGAAAGCCAGGGGAGCAAGCGGG